AAUGUCAUUCAGCAAUGUGGCUGCGAUGAUGAUUCUUGUUUGUCAGAGAUUCGUAAACGAGAUACGGCCAUUUUUGUACUAUGUACGUGUGCGUGUGUAUGCAUAUAUCAAGAUAGAAGCAUUCCAACACCAUUCAUCUCAGCACAGCAUUGUCGAUCGACUAAUCAGACUAAUCACCAUCAAUGAUGCGAUUGUGGUUCAUAUUGGUCAUUGCAUCAGUCACAUUGGCAUCAUGGUCAUCUGCCACCAAUGGCAGCACAACCAUGCAUGGUAUCCUAAGCAAAUAUAGUCUUUUUCCGGGCAUUUUCUCAUUCGAAUCCAUAGAACGACCAGCAUCGAAAUUGAUUGAAACAGACAACAACAUCAUCAACAACAACAACAACAAUGAGGCGUCAUCGACACUUGAACCUACAAGUAAAAAAGAAUACCCUCAGCAGAGUGUCUUGCAAUUUUCCCGUUUCAAAUUUGUUCCAUCAUCGAUCGAACCUCGAUAUCAGGUUGAACGCACAGUGCCACAUCACCAACAAGUGAUAUUCACAUCACCUAUUGAUCAUCAGACUGCUCAGGAUGAUCGGUCGGUGAAUGAAAAUGACAGAUGACUUUAUUUCGUUCUCAUCAUCUCAUUAUGUAUUUAUUAAGGUGGAAUUUUAAGCCGAAUUUUCACAAUAUGGACUUGGUGAUUAUGGAAUAAUGAAUUGUGUGGGUGUUGUGUACAAUUGAUUAAAUAACUUUAACAUUAA